AUUGAACGCUGGCGGCAGGCUUAACACAUGCAAGUCGAACGAUGAAACCUAGCUUGCUAGGUGGAAUAGUGGCGGACGGGUGAGUAACACUUAGGAAUCUACCUAAUAGCGGGGGAUAGCCCGGGGAAACUCGGAAUAAUACCGCAUAUUUUCUACGGAAGAAAGGGGGCAGAAUACUGCUCUCACUAUUAGAUGAGCCUAAGCAGGAUUAGCCAGAUGGUGGGGUAACGGCCUACCAUAGCGACGAUCCUUAGCUGGUCUGAGAGGAUGAUCAGCCACACUGGGACUGAGACACGGCCCAGACUCCUACGGGAGGCAGCAGUGGGGAAUAUUGGACAAUGGGGGGAACCCUGAUCCAGCCAUGCCGCGUGUGUGAAGAAGGCCUUUUGGUUGUAAAGCACUUUAAGUAGCGAAGAAGACCCCAUGGUUAAUACCCAUGGGCGAUGACAUUAACUACAGAAUAAGCACCGGCUAACUCUGUGCCAGCAGCCGCGGUAAUACAGAGGGUGCAAGCGUUAAUCGGAAUUACUGGGCGUAAAGCGAACGUAGGUGGUUAAAUAAGUCAGAUGUGAAAUCCCCGAGCUUAACUUGGGAACUGCAUCUGAAACUGUAUAACUAGAGUAGGUGAGAGGAAAGUAGAAUUCCAGGUGUAGCGGUGAAAUGCGUAGAGAUCUGGAGGAAUACCGAUGGCGAAGGCAGCUUUCUGGCAUCAUACUGACACUGAGUUCGAAAGCGUGGGUAGCAAACAGG
rnacentral:rRNA from 1 species